UACGAGUGCCCCGAGCGUUAUCCGGAAUCAUUGGGCGUAAAGGGUGUGUAGGUGGUUGUGUUAGUCAAUUGUUAAAACCCGGGGCUUAACCCCGGAAGUGCGAUUGAAACGGCACAACUAGAGGAUGGCAGGGAUGUAUGGAACUCAUGGAGUAGGGGUGAAAUCCGUUGAUAUCAUGGGGAACACCAAAAGCGAAGGCAGUACAUUGGGCCACUCCUGACACUGAAACACGAAAGCGUGGGUAGCGAAUGGG
rnacentral:rRNA from 1 species